rnacentral:ribozyme from 14 species
AGAACGACAGGAAGAAGACAAAAAAAAGAGAAAGCUGCAGAGAAAAGGACGACAUGUAUGCGUGUUCUUUCUUUCUU